rnacentral:tRNA from 1 species
GCGCCCGUAGCUCAGUCGGUAGAGCAGCUCCCUUUUAAGGAGACGGUCGUUGGUUCGAUUCCAACCGGGCGCACAA